GGGGGUAUAGCUCAGUUGGUAGAGCGCUUCCAUGGCAUGGAAGAGGUCCUCGGUUCGAGUCCGUGUACCUCCACCA
rnacentral:tRNA from 1 species